rnacentral:rRNA from 1 species
AGAGUUUGAUCAUGGCUCAGGAUGAACGCUAGCUACAGGCUUAACACAUGCAAGUCGAGGGGGCAGCAUGUUGGUUGCUUGCAACCAACGAUGGCGACCGGCGCACGGGUGAGUAACGCGUAUCCAACCUACCCUUGUCCAUCGGAUAACCCGUCGAAAGGCGGCCUAACGCGAUAUGCGGUUCACAGCAGGCAUCUAACGUGACGAAAUGUGAAGGAGAAGGAUGGGGGAUGCGUCUGAUUAGCUUGUUGGCGGGGUAACGGCCACCAAGGCUACGAUCGAGUAGGGGUUCUGGAGAGGAAGGUCCCCCACAUUGGAACUGAGACACGGUCAAACUCCUACGGGAGGCA